rnacentral:lncRNA from 1 species
GAGACUCCCAAUCAAGGAUGCAAAGUAAAAUGCCACCCGGGCCAGACCAGGACUGACAAGGGAGCCACUGCCUCUGCCAUAAUCAGAAAAUUGCAACAGAGCUGUAGACUCCAGAAUCACUCGUCUCUUCCAAGGUCAAGAAGCUGCCAAGUUAGGAAACCAGCUUGCAAAUCAAGAUGCCGCCUAACAACUUCUAGCUCCAAUCUCUUGUUGCCUCUAUUAUGUUCCAUGCAAGCAAAAUAAAUGUUGUGCCUUGACUCUC